GUGUUCUCGUAGGGGGUUACGGUGGUCUCGUAGGGAGUUACGGUGGUCUCGUAGGGGGUAACGGUGGUGUCGUAGGGGUAACGGUGGUCUCGUAGGGGGUUACGGUGGUCUCGUAGGGGGUAACGGUGGUGUCGUAGGGAGUAACGGUCGUCUCGUAGGGGGUAACUGUGAUCUCGUGUAUGUGCAGAUGACCGUAAGCUGUAACUUACCUAAGGGCUUGCCUUGUUGGCGUUUUUACUACAGCAAACUACACUUCAUUAUCCCAAUAAAACGGUAUCCAUAAGAGUAUACACAAUAAACAACUUGCGAUUAGGCCAAAGCGGCUUCAACUCGACUUCAGCAUCCGACUUGUUUACUAACAAUGACGUAGUAUUGUUACGUGCUAAUACUUGAUUCCCAAAGAUGAUUGUCUCAAGGUUAAUCGGCAAAAUAUAAAAACACAGAGCGUUAAUAUAAUAAAUAUUACACAAAAUGUUCAACAACAUGUUUAAAGUACAUAUUUUCAAGGCAAUUUUCGAGUUUCGAGUAAUGCAAGUGAAAGAGGCCUAUCUUUGUCGGACAUAUGAUCAUUUGAGAUUCGGAAAAGGCCCUUCCUAUUGGCCUCAUCGCAGUGGCCGCCAACGUGACCUUGCUCCACCAACAUGAACAAACAUCGGAGACACUGCUUCGAAGAGAUGAUUCUACAUUUGGCUCAUCAGGCUCUAUUACGCAUGCCUGGGUGAAGAGGUGACACAAACACAGUGGAGCACUUCACCUACAGAUCCACAGGGUCGCUAGGGCUGUCCGUCAGCCAGACAAAGAAGCUUCUCUCUGCCCUGGGCCUUACACACAACCAGCACGUCCACCAAGGAGUGAUGGGUGUGAUGACGACAUAUUGGCCAGACACAAUAAAUACCAGGAGAUCCCUGCUGUGGUUGUGUUUCGCCGUGAAUGCAUAAUAAACAUGAUUGUAUCCAUCAGCACCUCUUUUGAGGCAAAGUGGUGUGGGUUUAAUCUAUUAAAGUGCACCCUAGCCUUUAACAUGACACUGAGACUCCAGCCGG
ensembl:lncRNA